ACAAAAUACAGACUCUUCCUUUUCUCCUACUCUCAGCCGUUUCUAGGUUUCAAGUUCGUUUAAAACCUUUCUCUCAUACACUGCUUCUCCUUGCUCCAACGAUUGCCCUCUAGAUCGAUUUCCAGCACCUCCUCCGUCUGGAACACCCUCAUCAUCGGCUUCAUCUGCGACUAGGAGCCCCUCGACGCCCUCCUUCUCUACGCCCACGUGAGAGCCGCCACUUCCCCCCACCCACUUCGAUUCCUACAGAGAACCCCCAACAUAUGCCUCGCGGAUUUGAUUCUUUUGUGGUCGAUGGGUUUCUUUGGAGCUCCUUCAAGCCACGUUUGCAAUUGAGAUAUUAUGACCCCUUGAUUUCUGACGUUUUCACUCGAUCAGAAGCAUCUUACUGUGAACUGAAGCAAUUAACAGUAGUCGCUCACUCUUCAGGCGGUGAUGAGUGGUGAACUUUGGAAGCGUUAUCUUCUUCGACAUUGAGUUGCAGCAACGGUUGCAACGCAGCCCCGUCCCCUCUCUGCUGAUAUGAAAUCGGUGUCUGCAGAAUUUAAUCGCUCAUGGAUUUGCCUUUGGCCAUAGAGGAAGAAGGAUCAACUUGAAGUGAAUGUUGAAGCUUUCAUCAAUGAAACAUCAUUCUUGGCUAGCAAUGGUCAGCAUGAAGUACUGAGUUUAAAGUGCAAGGUCUGCUAUUCCAUGUAUUUUUUGUUAUUUAUAUGAUUUUCUUCUCUUGAUUUUCCUUUGUUUGCAUUUGUAGUACAUAUGUAUUGGAUCACUUUCUUUUGUUCUUCACAAAUCAGGUGCUUCAUUCUUCUGUUUGUGCUUCUCUGGGAAUUUUCAGAAAUCUCCAACCAAAUAUCAAGUGAGUAAAAUUUUUUUAUUUGCAGUACAUGUUUUGUCCUUCUUCCCUCACUGUGUUUGUUGUUCUUCCCUCUGUGUGUAUUAUCCUUCACUACUAUUGUGUCUGAAAUUGCAGCCCUUGCUGCUUUACAGAUUACAAUCCUGCAAGUGUUUCUCCUCUUUUUGUACCCUUUUUCUUUGACUAAAUUGCAUGCAAAUGUUGGUGCUCUUAUUCUACUUCCAUAUAUCUAAAUUGAACCCUUUAACCUUAUUCUACAGCUUCGUUUUAACCUCUUUUCUUUCUUUUCUUCUAAGUUGAAAUCAUAUAACUAUUAAGUCAUGCUAUUUUUCAUUUAACUAUUUCUAACUUUUGAAAAAUGGGGAGAGCUUUGCUAUUGCUAACUACCACUGCACUUGCAAUUACUAUUCUGUAAGCAAGGUAAAAGAGUAGGAAGAAAGAAAUGAUUUAGCCAAAUAAGACCUGACUUGAAGGUUAUCAGCCCCAAGUACCAAUUACCAUGUUUGGCUGAGAUCUACCAAAAAAAAGUGAAUGUGAAGAAAAGGCAAUAAGACAGAUUAUUAUUGGUCAAUGAAUGAAGAUGCUUGCAGCCUCCAAGCUUCCGCAUGUGCUUUCCUUCAGUGCCAUUAUUAUUGACAUGAAAUUAGGUUUAGGGGCAUGGAUAGGAAUAGACUGCCACCAUUGUUGACUGUUUUGGUGUGUUCGGUAUUCUGAGAUUGAUUUGUAGGAAGUAGGCUUUGGCCUCCACUUUAAAUGUUUGGAAAGAUUUGAGUUGUCAUUGUGGAUCUACAAUAAAUAUUAAAUAGUUAUAUUUUGUUUCUGA